GGCUGGUCCGAAAGUAGUGAGUUAUCUCACGUGAUUGUUCACAGUCAGUUACAGAUUGAACUCCUUGUUCUACUACUUUCCCCCCUCCUCACUACUGCACUUGACUAGUCUAAA
rnacentral:Y_RNA from 1 species